AGAGUUUGAUCAUGGCUCAGGAUGAAUGCUGGCGGCGUGCCUAAUGCAUGCAAGUCGAGCGGUAACAGGGCUUCACCGUGUUCUUGACACACUUGGCCAAAGUGCAAGUGGGAGUUUCGAGGACACAGUGAAGCUGCUGACGAGCGGCGGACGGCUGAGUAACGCGUGGGAACGGACCCCAAACUGAGGGAUAACCACUCGAAAGAGUGGCUAAUACCGCAUGUGAUCUUCGGAUUAAAGUCUUCGGACGGUUUGGGACUGGCCUGCGUACGAUUAGAUAGUUGGUGAGGUAAAGGCUCACCAAGUCGACGAUCGUUAGAUGGUUUGAGAGGAUGAUCAUCCAGACUGGGACUGAGACACGGCCCAGACUCCUACGGGAGGCAGCAGUAGGGAAUCUUUCACAAUGGGCGAAAGCCUGAUGGAGCAACGCCGCGUGCAGGAUGAAGGCCUUCGGGUUGUAAACUGCUUUUAUAGUUGAGAAAUAUGAUGGUAAGCUAUGAAUAAGGAUCGGCUAACUACGUGCCAGCAGCCGCGGUCAUACGUAGGAUCCGAGCAUUAUCCGGAGUGACUGGGUGUAAAGAGUUGCGUAGGUGGCAUAGUAAGUAGAUAGUGAAAUCUGGUGGCUCAACCAUUCAGACUAUUAUCUAAACUGCUAAGCUCGAGAGCGUUAGGGGUAGCUGGAAUUUCUAGUGUAGGAGUGAAAUCCGUAGAUAUUAGAAAGAACACCGAUAGCGUAGGCAGGCUACUGGGACGUUUCUGACACUAAGGCACGAAAGCGUGGGGAGCAAACGGGAUUAGAUACCCCGGUAGUCCACGCUGUAAACGAUGGAUGCUAGCAGUUCCGGGUAUCGACCCCCGAAGUUGCGAAGCUAACGCG
rnacentral:rRNA from 1 species